AUUGAUAGACUGAAUACAAUUAUUAUAUUAUCGUGUAAUCUAAAAUACAAUUGCAAUAAUUGCUCAGCAAAAUCGGUUAACUGCCUGGAAAAAAGAUCUAUUGCGAGAAAUUACACUAAAAAAGGACAACUCAACAUACAAGGCAUUUCGCGUUCACGUAAGGUUCAGGGAAGGGCCGCAUCCGAAAGUAAGGCUGUAUUCGGUUCCGGUUCUGGGUCUAUUUGGGUCUGCAGUUCCUGUUCUGGCGGUUCCGGUUCUGGCGGUUCUGGCCGUUCCGGUUCUGGUGGUUUCGGAGCCGGAACCGUUACCAUACGGUUCCGGGUACCAUCCGGUUCCGGUUCCGGAGGUUCUGGCGGUUCCGACAGUUCCCCGCGGUUCUAAAUUUUUUUUUUUAAAUCAAUAUCUUGUAUAGUAGUCAUUAGUAUAUUGUAG
rnacentral:lncRNA from 1 species